UGCAGUUCGUUGUUCAGACAAAUGUACCACAUGCCGUAUUCAUCAUGUUUCACUCAAUUCUCCAGGGGCUCUGAACCAUCUCAUGGUCAUUAAGUGAAUCUGUCGCCUGGGAACCAAAUGACUGGGAAGAGAAAGGCCAUCCAUAGGGCUGGUGCUGAAGCAUUGCUUCUACAGCGUUUCCAGCCCAUUGACCACUCCACCACAUUCAGUUAUCAGAACCAGUCUCAGCCAAGAGGUGGAUUGUGAUGGUGCCUGCCUUCAAUCCCAGCACUUGGCAGGCAGAUCUCUAUGAGGAGUUUAAGACCAGCCUGGGCUGCAUACUGAGACCCUGUCUCAAAACAAACAAAAGUGGACUUGGCUUUGGUUUCCAGCUUCCCUUUCUUCAAACUUCCUCAAGGCCACUGUCUCCCUCUUCUCCAGGAGAAAAUGGAUCUUCAUCUCCUUGUAUCUUGCUCUCCUUUUAUACCCAUGCUGACUAAAUUUUUCGCCAGCUUGACAUAAACUAGAGUUAUCUGAGAGGAUGUGUUCCAGGUCCCCAGACCUCUAGCAUAACUCAUAGAAGUACAAUACAGGUCAUAGAAUCCAGCAUGUAGAAAGCACCACUAGCCAAAACAAUAACCAAAAGCUAAUCCAUCGAAGUCCUUAAAUGUACUGACCUUGCUUAUUGCCUUCUAUAGUUCUGCUUCUGGCUAACUGUUCUUGUUAACUGAACUAUGUCAACAAGAUCAUGGUUUUUGUGCUUCUAAAAGCUCACCCUAAGAAAGGCUCAGUGCUACCCUGGGACCCUGAACACCCAAUAUACUUGCUGGACAGAUAAUAAAGACCUUU
rnacentral:lncRNA from 1 species